AGUUAAAGGUGAAAUGCCAGGGCUUAACCCUGGAGCUGCUUUUAAUACUGCCAGACUGGAGUCCGGGAGAGGAUAGCGGAAUUCCUAGUGUAGAGGUGAAAUUYGUAGAUAUUAGGAGGAACACCAGUGGCGAAGGCGGCUAUYUGGUYCGGUACUGACACUGAGGUGCGAAAGCGUGGGGAGCAAACMGGAUUAGAUACCCUGGUAGUYCACGCUGUAAACGAUGAGUGCUGGAUGUGGGGGUUUUUACCUYCGUGUUGUAGCUAACGCGUUAAGCACUYCGCCUGGGGAMUACGGUYGCAAGACUAAAACUCAAAGGAAUUGACGGGGACCCGCACMAGCGGUGGAGCAUGUGGUUUAAUUCGAUGCAACGCGAAAAACCUUACCACUCCUUGACAUGAAGAUUAGAUCCUCYUUAACAGGARGGCGCAGUUUCGGCUGGGUYUYGCACMGGUGCUGCAUGGCYGUYGUCAGCUYGUGUCGUGAGAUGUUGGGUUAAGUYCCGCAACGAGCGUAACCCUCACCYUUAGUUGCCAGCGGGUAAUGCCGGGGACUUUAAGGGAACUGCCAGUGGUAARCUGGAGGAAGGUGGGGAUGAUGUCAAGUCAGCAUGGCCCUUAUGGGGUGGGSUACACACSUGSUACAAUGGUGACUACMAUAGGUUGCAAWGKCGKMAGGCUGAGCUAAUCCGUCAAAAGUCAUCUYAGUUCGGAUUGUCCUCUGCAACUCGAGGGCAUGAAGYAGGAAUCGCUAGUAAUCGUGGAUCAGCAUGCCACGGUGAAUACGUUCUCGGGUCUUGUACACACUGCCCGUCACGCCAUGGGAAUUGGCUUAACUCGA
rnacentral:rRNA from 1 species